rnacentral:rRNA from 1 species
GACGAACGCUGGCGGCGUGCUUAACACAUGCAAGUCGAACGGAAAGGCCCUGCUUUUGUGGGGUGCUCGAGUGGCGAACGGGUGAGUAACACGUGAGUAACCUGCCCUUGACUUUGGUAUAACUUCAGGAAACUGGGGCUAAUACCGGAUAGGAGCUCCUGCUGCAUGGUGGGGGUUGGAAAGUUUCGGCGGUUGGGGAUGGACUCGCGGCUUAUCAGCUUGUUGGUGGGGUAGUGGCUUACCAAGGCUUUGACGGGUAGCCGGCCUGAGAGGGUGACCGGCCACAUUGGGACUGAGAUACGGACCAGACUCCUACGGGAGGCAGCAGUGGGGAAUAUUGCACAAUGGGCGGAAGCCUGAUGAAGCAACGCCGCGUGCGGGAUGACGGCCUUCGGGUUGUAAACCGCUUUCGCCUGUGACGAAGCGUGAGUGACGGUAAUGGGUAAAGAAGCACCGGCUAACUACGUG